GGACAAGUCCAAGUCAUUCCAUAUGAUUAUGAAGAAUGAAAAGGCUUCAACAAACAACAGAUAAAAGGUUACAUUCACAUUAUUUGUUACAGGUUACUGUGGCGUCGUUUCAUCCAUGUAGCCGAGCCAUGUGACAUGUGACGGGACAAAGGCUUGUUUAUGGCCACUUUUUAUUUAGCCUUUUAAGAUGCAGUGCUAUGUAAUAUGAAGAUCAAUAAACAUGGACAGAAAAAUAAUAUUUAUUUUUCCUUUUUUAUACAUUGACGACAAUGAGAUUAUUAUGUAGUAUUUUAUGCAUGUUAAUUAAAUUUUCAAUAAAAUUUUAUAUCUAA